rnacentral:rRNA from 1 species
UACAGAGGUCUCAAGCGUUGUUCGGAUUCAUUGGGCGUAAAGGGUGUGUAGGUGGCGCGCUAAGUCGGGUGUGAAAUUUCGGAGCUUAACUCCGAAACUGCAUUCGAUACUGGCGUGCUUGGAGGACUGGAGAGGAGACUGGAAUUUACGGUGUAGCGGUGAAAUGCGUAGAUAUCUGGAGGAAUACCGGUGGCGAAGGCGGCAUCCUGGACCGACAUUGACGCUGAGAGCGAAAGCUAGGGGAGCAAACGGG